rnacentral:rRNA from 1 species
GGACGAACGCUUGCGGCGUGCCUAAGAAAUGCAAGUCGAGCGAGGUUUAGGCUUCGGCCAAAAACCUAGCGGCGAACGGUCGCGUAACACGUAAGCAACCUGCCCUGGAGUGGGGGAUAGCCCGCCGAAAGGCGGAUUAAUACCGCAUGUGAAUGCUUUCUCGCAUGGGAGAGCAUUUAAAACAGCAAUGUGCUCCAGGAUGGGCUUGCGGCCUAUCAGCUAGUUGGUGAGGUAACGGCUUACCAAGGCGACGACGGGUAGCUGGUCUUAGAGGAUGGUCAGCCGGACUGGGACUGAGAUACGGCCCAGACUCCUACGGGGGGCAGCAAUUAGGAAUCUUGCGCAAUGGGCGAAAGCCUGACGCAGCGACGCCGCGUGACUGAUGAAGUCUUUCGGGAUGUAAAGGUCUUUUGCAGGGGACGAAGGAAGUGACGGUACCCUGCGAAUAAGCUCCGGCUAACUACGUGCCAGCAGCCGCGGUAAUACGUAGGGAGCGAGCGUUGUCCGAAUUUACUGGGCGUAAAGCGCGCGUAGGCGGGUUUUUAAGUUGGGGGUGAAAUGCCGAGGCUCAACCUCGGAACUGCCUCCAAAACUGGAAGCCUUGAGGUAUGGAGAGGGAAGUGGAAUUCCUGGUGUAGCGGUGAAAUGCGUAGAUAUCAGGAGGAACACCCGUGGCNAAGGCGGCUUCCUGGCCAUAUCCUGACGCUGAGGUGCGAAAGCUAGGGGAGCGAACGGGAUUAGAUACCCCGGUAGUCCUAGCCGUAAACGAUGGAUACUAGGUGUUAGAGGUAUCGACCCCUCUAGUGCCGGAGCUAACGCAUUAAGUAUCCCGCCUGGGGAGUACGACCGCAAGGUUGAAACUCAAAGGAAUUGACGGGGGCCCGCACAAGCGGUGGAGCAUGUGGUUUAAUACGUCACUAACCGNAGAACCUUACCUAGGCUUGACAUCUGGGGAACCCUGACGAAAGUCGGGGGUGCCUUCGGGAACCUCAAGACAGGUGUUGCAUGGCUGUCGUCAGCUCGUGUCGUGAGAUGUUGGGUUAAGUCCCGCAACGAGCGCAACCCUCAUCCGAUGUUGCCAGCGUAAAGUCGGGAACUCUUCGGAAACUGCCCGUGUAAGCGGGAGGAAGGUGGGGAUGACGUCAAGUCAGCAUGGCCCUUACGCCUGGGGCUACACACAUGCUACAAUGGGCGCUAACAAAGGGCAGCAAUACCGCGAGGUGGAGCGAAUCUCAUAAAUGCGUCCUCAGUUCGGAUUGUAGUCUGCAACUCGACUACAUGAAGUCGGAAUCGCUAGUAACCGCAGGUCAGCUAAACUGCGGUGAAUACGUUCCCGGGCCU